GCUGGGCAUGAGCUGAAGCCUGGAAGCUCCUGCUGUACUUGGAAAUCUGAACUUUUCCCAAGGUUUCAUGUUCACAGGACCUGAGCUGUGUGUGGUACUGGGAUUGAGAAGUGGCCCUGUUACUCUAAACACCUUGGUUACUGGAUUUUAUCUUGUGGGCUUCUCCUUCAAGUUGUCUUCCUUCUCCUAAGUUGUCUCCUUCAAGUAUGUCUUCCCUUCCUAUCUGGGCCUUGGUGAGCAUCUUUCAAGUGUCACACGAAUGCUACUUCUACCCUACCAUCAAGAUUUUUAAAAACACCAAAGAAUCUGUUAGGGUAAACUGAGGCACAACUGAGCUCACUGGAGCAGGCAAGAAAUGAAGUAACAAGCAAGAUUUUAUUUCCAGCCUGGGUGCAGGCGAGUCAGGGGUGAUAAGACCCUUAACCUUGGGGGUUUGGGCAAGGGGAAAUUUUAUAGGAGAGUUUGGUAGGGGAGGGGUAGCACCAUGAAGAGUGGGAAAGUUUUGUCUUGGAGUGAGGAAGUCUGGUGGUCUCCAGGGGUAUCUGAACCUACAGGUGUUGCUGCGUGGGGCUGGCUGUUUAUCUUGAACCUGGGCCUUGGCUUCCUGUUAUCUUUUGCACCUUGCAGGAUGUGUAACAGGAUUUCCCUGGGAAGUUUUUCUCUUCUGCCUGGGCAGAAUCAGUUGAGAGCUACCAGCAACAGACUUUUGACCUCCAAAUGUGUCUGCACUGUAGCCCACACAUACCCCACUGUCCUGAUACAGAAUUCCAAAGCCUGGAAGUUCAGAGCAGAUGUGAGUGGAGCUGCUUCUCCUGGGGCCUUUCCUGUUGGGAACAAUGCUACAUAAUUCUAGGGAAAAAUCAUUUGGUUAGCCUAGUUCUCUUGCCUACAGCCAAGCUACAGAAUAACUCCAGUUUGGCCUCCUGUCACAACUGAGACUUCAGUGAUCCAGUGAUGCUGUGAUUCUCCAAGAAACAUCCUGGGAGAAUAAACAUCUGCUCAGUUCCGCAUUGUUCUUGGACUGAUUAAUAUCUUGUUUGCCGGAGAUGUACUGAACUCUCUGCAAGCCUUCCGUUACACCUUGUUUAUCCCAAUGUGAACUAUUGAACUCUCUGCAAGUCAUUUGUUACAUUUGCUUCUCCCGAUGUACUGAAUAAAAGGUGUGGUAAGCUGGGG
rnacentral:lncRNA from 1 species